rnacentral:rRNA from 1 species
CGCGGCCUAUCAGCUUGUUGGUGAGGUAGCGGCUCACCAAGGCUAUGACGGGUAGCCGGUCUGAGAGGAUGGUCGGUCACACUGGGACUGAGACACUGCCCAGACUCCUACGGGAGGCUGCAGUCGAGAAUCUUCCGCAAUGGGCGAAAGCCUGACGGAGCGACGCCGCGUGAAGGAUGAAGGCCCUCGGGUUGUAAACUUCUGUCAAGGUUCAAGGAAAAGGCAACGGUUAAUAGUCGUUGUCUUGACGUUGGGCCAAAAGGAAGCACCGGCUAACUCUGUGCCAGCAGCCGCGGUAAGACAGAGGGUGCAAACGUUGCUCGGAAUUACUGGGCUUAAAGCGCACGUAGGCGGUCAAGUAAGUGUCUUGUGAAAGCCCCCGGCUCAACCGGGGAACUGCAGGGCAUACUGCUUGGCUCGAGUUUGGGAGGGGAGAGUGGAACUCCUGGUGGAGCGGUGGAAUGCGUAGAUAUCAGGAGGAACGCCGAAGGUGAAGACAACUCUCUGGUCCAAUACUGACGCUGAGGUGCGAAAGCUAGGGGAGCGAACGGGAUUAGAUACCCCGGUAGUCCUAGCCCUAAACGAUGGGCACUAGCUAAGGGGGGUUCCUAUGCCUUCUUUGGCGAAGCAAAAGUUUUAAGUGCCCCGCCUGGGGAGUACGG